AUUGAACGCUGGCGGCAUGCCUUACACAUGCAAGUCGAACGGCAGCACGGGUGCUUGCACCUGGUGGCGAGUGGCGAACGGGUGAGUAAUACAUCGGAACGUACCUUAUCGUGGGGGAUACCGCAGCGAAAGCUGUGCUAAUACCGCAUACGCCCUGAGGGGGAAAGCGGGGGAUGGCAAGACCUCGCGCGAUUAUAGGGGCCGAUGCCUGAUUAGCUUGUUGGUGGGGUAAAAGCCCACCAAGGCGACGAUCAGUAGCUGGUCUGAGAGGACGAUCAGCCACACUGGGACUGAGACACGGCCCAGACUCCUACGGGAGGCAGCAGUGGGGAAUUUUGGACAAUGGGGGCAACCCUGAUCCAGCAAUGCCGCGUGAGUGAAGAAGGCCUUCGGGUUGUAAAGCUCUUUUGUCAGGGAAGAAACACCGGCUCUAACACAGUCCGGGAAUGACGGUACCUGAAGAAUAAGCACCGGCUAACUACGUGCCAGCCGCCGCCGUAA
rnacentral:rRNA from 1 species